rnacentral:rRNA from 1 species
UACGUAGGCAGCAAGCGUUGUUCGGAAUUACUGGGCGUAAAGAGUGUGUAGGCGGUGCUCUAAGUCUGUCGUGAAAUCUCCCGGCUUAACUGGGAGGGUGCGGCGGAAACUGGAGUGCUCGAGGAUGGGAGAGGUAAGCGGAAUUCCUGGUGUAGCGGUGAAAUGCGUAGAUAUCAGGAGGAACACCUGUGGUGUAGACAGCUUACUGGACCAUUUCUGACGCUGAGACACGAAAGCGUGGGUAGCAAAC